rnacentral:rRNA from 1 species
UACGUAGGGGGCAAGCGUUGUCCGGAUUUAUUGGGCGUAAAGAGCUCGUAGGCGGUUUGGUAAGUCUGGUGUGAAAUCUCCACGCUCAACGUGGAGGGGCCACCCGAUACUGCCAUGACUGGAGUCCGGUAGAGGAGUGUGGAAUUCCCGGUGUAGCGGUGAAAUGCGCAGAUAUCAGGAGGAACACCGGUGGCGAAGGCGGAUCUCGUGGGCCUUACCUGACGCUCGAGGUGCGAAAGCUAGGGGAGCGAACAGGA